UCACAAAGGAGAGAGAUGAACAGAAAGAGCACAUGGGACUUUAAGAGUGAAAUACUCUAUAUGAUAUUAUAAUGAUGAAUCUAGGUCAUUAUACAGUUGCCCAAACCCAAAGAAUAUAUACCACAACGAUUGAAUCCUAAAGGCAGCAAAAUCAUCAGGAGAGUCAGAAGGAACACUUGUGACCACACCAGUGCCUUAUAAAAUAAAGUAUGGAAUGAAUCAA